GCCUGGGUGGCUCAGUCGGUUAAGCAGCUGACUUUGACUCAGAUCAUGAUCCAGGUGUCCUGGGAUCGAGUCCCACAUCAGGCU
rnacentral:tRNA from 1 species